GAAUGGCUCAGGAUGAACGCUAGCUACAGGCUUAACACAUACAAGUCGAGGGGCAGCAUAGUGUUCUAGCAAUAGAAUACGGAUGGCGACCGGCGCACGGGUGAGUAACACGUAUCCAACCUGGCUGUUAUUCGGGAAUAGCCUUGCGAAAGUAAGAUUAACGCCCGAUGGUAUUAAGGUUCCGCAUGGGAUUUUAAUUAAAAGUUAUGAUAACAGAUGGGGAUGCGUUCCAUUAGAUCGUAGGCGGGGUAACGG
rnacentral:rRNA from 1 species